UGACAUUUAGGACAGAUGUUAAUCUUAACCA
rnacentral:piRNA from 1 species